rnacentral:rRNA from 1 species
GGAAUUUGAUCUUGCUUAGAUGACGCUAGCGGGAGGCCUAACACAUGCAAGCCGAGCGGUAGAGUAUCUUCGGAUACUUGAGAGCGGCGUACGGGUGCGGAACACGUGUGCAACCUGCCUUUAUCUGAGGGAUAGCCUUUCGAAAGGGAGAUUAAUACCUCAUAAUAUACUGAUUGGCAUCAAUUGGUAUUGAAAGCUCCGGCGGAUAGAGAUGGGCACGCGCAAGAUUAGAUAGUUGGUGAGGUAACGGCUCACCAAGUCAAUGAUCUUUAGGGGGCCUGAGAGGGUGAUCCCCCACACUGGUACUGAGACACGGACCAGACUCCUACGGGAGGCAGCAGUGAGGAAUAUUGGACAAUGGGUGCAAGCCUGAUCCAGCCAUCCCGCGUGAAGGACGACGGCCCUAUGGGUUGUAAACUUCUUUUGUACAGGGAUAAACCUACCCUCGUGAGGGUAGCUGAAGGUACUGUACGAAUAAGCACCGGCUAACUCCGUGCCAGCCGCCGCGGUAAUU